GGCGCGGUAGCUGAGUGGUAAAGCGUUUGGCUUCCGAACCGGGGGUCCCGGGUUCGAAUCCUGGUGAAGUCU
rnacentral:tRNA from 1 species